rnacentral:rRNA from 1 species
CCCUUAGAUGUUCUGGGCAGCACGCGCGCUACAAUGGUCUUCGCAAACGGAUGCAUUCUCGAAGGAGAAUGCCAAUCUUGGAAUCUAUGCCUUGGUCGGGACAGUUGCUUGCAAUUUUUCGACUCGAACCAGGAAUUCCUUGUAAUCGUGAUUCAUCACAUCACGAUGAAUACGUCCCUGCCCUUUGUACACACCGCCCGUCGCUCCUACCGAUUGGGUGUGCUGGUGAAAUGUUCGGAUCGGCCGUUUGUCGCGGUUUCCGCGGCUCGUGGCUGAGAAGUUCAUUAAACCCUCCCACCUAGAGGAAGGAGAAGUCGUAACA